CCUACGGGAGGCAGCAGUGGGGAAUAUUGGACAAUGGGCGCAAGCCUGAUCCAGCAAUGCCGCGUGAGUGAUGAAGGCCUUCGGGUCGUAAAGCUCUUUUACCAGGGAUGAUAAUGACAGUACCUGGAGAAUAAGCUCCGGCUAACUCCGUGCCAGCAGCCGCGGUAAUACGGAGGGAGCUAGCGUUGUUCGGAAUUACUGGGCGUAAAGCGCGCGUAGGCGGCGACACAAGUCAGAGGUGAAAGCCCGGGGCUCAACCCCGGAACUGCCUUUGAAACUAGGUUGCUAGAAUCUUGGAGAGGUCAGUGGAAUUCCGAGUGUAGAGGUGAAAUUCGUAGAUAUUCGGAAGAACACCAGUGGCGAAGGCGACUGACUGGACAAGUAUUGACGCUGAGGUGCGAAAGCGUGGGGAGCAAACAGGAUUAGAUACCCCAGUAGUC
rnacentral:rRNA from 1 species